AUAAUACUCCAUAGUCCAUGGAAUCUGGAAUGAUCCAUGGAUGAAAGUUCCGGCGCUUAAGGAUCGGUCUGCGGCCUAUCAGGUUGUAGUGGGUGUAACGUACCUACUAGCCGAUGACGGGUAUGGGCCUUGAGAGAGGGAGCCCAGAGUUGGAUUCUGAGACACGAAUCCAGGCCCUACGGGGCGCAGCAGUCGCGAAAACUUCACAAUGGGGGCAACCCCGAUGAGGGAAUUCCUAAUGCUAGCACAUUUGUGUUAGCUUUUCUUUAGCGUAGAUAACUAGAGGAAUAAGGGCUGGGAAAGACGGGUGCCAGCCGCCGCGGUAAUACCUGCAGCCCAAGUGGUGGUCGAGUUUAUUGAGUCUAAAACGUUCGUAGCCGGUUCGGUAAAUCUUUGGGUAAAUCGGAGGGCUUAACCUUCCGACUUCCGAGGAGACUGCCGAACUUGGGACCGGGAGAGGCUAGAGGUACUUCUGGGGUAGGGGUAAAAUCCUGUAAUCCUAGAAGGACCACCGGUGGCGAAGGCGUCUAGCUAGAACGGAUCCGACGGUGAGGGACGAAGCCCUGGGUCGCAAACGGGAUUAGAUACCCCGGUAGUCCAGGGUGUAAACGCUGCAGACUUGGUGU
rnacentral:rRNA from 1 species